rnacentral:misc_RNA from 1 species
UUAAGUUCAGCGGGUAUCCCUACCUGAUCCGAGGUCAAGAUUGAAAAGGUCUUGUGGAGGACCAGUAUGUCAAGAGCCUUGCGCGUUGUACUGCGCUCGAAGCCAACAUACCGGCCGCCAAUGCAUUUGAGGUGAGUCCACCACGGGGGGGGGACAAGCACCCAACACCAAGCUAUGCUUGAAGGUUUAAAUGACGCUCG